GGGGAUGUAGCUCAGUGGAAGAGUGCUUGCCUAACAUGCAUGAAGCACUGGGUUCGAUCCUCAGCACCA
rnacentral:tRNA from 1 species